rnacentral:lncRNA from 1 species
GUGAUGUUUCAUAGCACUGAUAUACAGCAUACCAAGAUUAUGUAUUUCAAUAAGAACUGGUCUUCAAAAAGUACAGACUUGUUGAUCUUACUAUGUAUCACCAUGAGGCACUGGAACCUAUCUGAGCGGAUGGCUGACAGCAACAGACAACUGUCAUCUUUAUAUUUGUGUCUAAUCUCUUCUAUCUUUCAGAAUACAGCAUAUCUAUGAUUUCAGCUGGAGGAAUAUAUCACCCUGAAACUUACAUUCUAUGGAUUUUGGCAUUCAUUUAAUCUUUAUUUUAAAAGCUCUCCUGUAAUGUUCUUAUUUUUUUUUUCUGUUUCAAUUAUUAUUAUUAUUAUUUUUAAGAUAGUCAUUAUUGCUUCUCAAAUUCCAGUUAUUCAGUGGAUAUAUGCAGAAUGACAGUAUCACUUACCAAAGGUGAGCCCAUAUGCCGUUGUGGUUCCCAAUUAGAAAAUAAGCACCAGCUGACUUAGAAACACAGCUGCAGAGGAGUAGCCAUGUACUCUCUGCUCUCCUUCUCGCAAAGAGUCGUAUGCUCCGAAAAGGGGCUAUGGAAAAGAGAAUUUCAAAAUGACGGAGAGACAGAAAAAAACAACAGAAAACAAAUAGGCCAUAUUUACUGGUAAACUUCAAACAAAAUCUUUGUAGCUUUUAAGUAGUCAAAACCUUUCAAGGAGUUUUCUCUUAGAUAUUUGACCUUUUUUUUCUUUUUCUUUUCUUUUUUAUGGGAGAGUCUUUCAUCCGAAACUCUGGGAGAAAUGUGAGCUGUAAUAUCACAGCUUUCUGGUGUUCUUGACUCACUAAAACCCAACUGAAAAAAAGACAUGAGUUUAUAUCAUUCCUGAACUUCAAUAAAGGUUUGAUUCUAUUUAUUUUACUACUUACA